GCUCUUCUUGUAUGCCCAUCUGCGUUCCC
rnacentral:piRNA from 1 species